rnacentral:rRNA from 1 species
UACAGAGGGUGCAAGCGUUGUUCGGAAUUACUGGGCGUAAAGGGCGCGUAGGCGGCCUGCUAAGUCGAACGUGAAAUCCCUGGGCUCAACCCAGGAACUGCGUCCGAUACUGGUUGGCUUGAAUCCGGGAGAGGGAUGUGGAAUUCCAGGUGUAGCGGUGAAAUGCGUAGAUAUCUGGAGGAACACCGGUGGCGAAGGCGACAUCCUGGACCGGCAUUGACGCUGAGGCGCGAAAGCUAGGGGAGCAAACGGGG